GCUGUGGUGUCGGAGUGGUUAACGAGUCAGACUUGAAAUCUGAUGCCUUCGGGCGCGCAGGUUCGAAUCCUGGUAAGCA
rnacentral:tRNA from 1 species